rnacentral:rRNA from 1 species
CCUACGGGUUGCUGCAGUGGGGAAUAUUGGACAAUGGGCGAAAGCCUGAUCCAGCCAUGCCGCGUGUGUGAAGAAGGCCUUCGGGUUGUAAAGCACUUUCAGUGGGGAAGAAAGCCUUGGGGCUAAUACCCUCGAGGAAGGACAUCACCCACAGAAGAAGCACCGGCUAACUCCGUGCCAGCAGCCGCGGUAAUACGGAGGGUGCGAGCGUUAAUCGGAAUUACUGGGCGUAAAGCGCGCGUAGGCGGUCUGAUAAGCCGGUUGUGAAAGCCCCGGGCUCAACCUGGGAACGGCAUCCGGAACUGUCAGGCUAGAGUGCAGGAGAGGAAGGUAGAAUUCCCGGUGUAGCGGUGAAAUGCGUAGAGAUCGGGAGGAAUACCAGUGGCGAAGGCGGUCUUCUGGACUGACACUGACGCUGAGGUGCGAAAGCGUGGGUAGCAAACAGGAUUAGAUACCCUAGUAGUC